rnacentral:tRNA from 1 species
CGUCAGGUAGCUCAGUGGUUUAGAGCAAUCGCCCGGCAAGCGAAAGACCCGGGUUCGAUUUCCGGCUAGCGA